GGUGAGGGCACAUCAGCAGCUGUGAUGCAUGCGGCCACAGACACAGAGAGCACGCCCAUAAAAAUAAAAAAAAAAAUCCGUCCUUUUUUUGAAUAGAGCCCUGGGUAAUUACCCUAACCAUUGUUCUAUGAGAAAGCCCUGUUUACACCAUUUCAUCAGUUUAGGAUCUAGAUGGGAACGAUCACCGGCAUUAAGCGGUGAAGGCAAUUUGCUUUUUCAAUGAAGAAAGGACCAAAAAAAAAAAAAUAAUAGCACUGAAAGAUCUCUGCUCCUGAGUUGCCCGUGUUCACAGCCAAGGCUCACCCCACAUGAAAAGGAUCCUGAGGAGGAGUCUGUCUGACCUUCCUCCUAAACAGAGCCCAAGGAUAACGAGGA
rnacentral:lncRNA from 1 species